rnacentral:RNase_P_RNA from 2 species
GAAGUAGGCCAAGACAGUCGCUGGCUGACGUGUAAUGCGUUGGCGGGAGGAAGGUCCGGACUCCAUAGAGCAGGGUGACGGUUAAUGGCCGUCCGCCGCAAGGCGAGGAAUAGGGCCACAGAGACGAGCGUAUUAAGUUACGGUGAAACGCGGUAACCUCCACCUGGAGCAAUCCCAAAUAGGCACGCGUUGAGGCGGCUCGCGGAGCGUGCGGGUAGGGAGCUUGAGCGCAGGAGUAAUUCUGCGCCUAGAGGAAUGGCUGUCAUAGCGAACGUCCGCAAGGGCUGACGCCGUAACAAAAUCCGGCCUAUCGGCCUGCUUCACUU